rnacentral:ncRNA from 2 species
CUAAAGUGGCGCGGUUCAGGUGUCCUGCUGGGUGAUCACCCAGGGGAUGAAACGGGAAGCCGGUGCGUGGUGCGUUCGUCGCACUGCAAGGCCGGCGCUGCCCCCGCAACGGUAAGCGAGAUUCACGAACGGCGGACGCCACUGUGCAUAGCACGGGAAGGCGCCGUUCGGGGCAUGCGGUUCACCCGCACGCCACUCGCGAGCCCGGAGACCGGCCCGAACGAUUCCUGGUGG